rnacentral:tRNA from 1 species
ACGUUAUAAGUAUAGAAAUACACCUGACUUCCAAUUAGGAGACCAUAGUAAAAAUUCUAUGAUAGCGUA